rnacentral:rRNA from 1 species
UACUAUAGCUUGACACUGAACAUUGAGCCUUGAUGUGUAGGAUAGGUGGGAGGCUUUGAAGUGUGGACGCCAGUCUGCAUGGAGCCGGCCUUGAAAUACCACCCUUUAAUGUUUGAUGUUCUAACGUUGACCCGUAAUCCGGGUUGCGGACAGUGUCUGGUGGGUAGUUUGACUGGGGCGGUCUCCUCCUAAAGAGUAACGGAGGAGCACGAAGG